CCUACGGGAGGCAGCAGUGAGGAAUAUUGGUCAAUGGACGAAAGUCUGAACCAGCCAAGUAGCGUGAAGGAUGACUGCCCUAUGGGCUGUAACCUUCUUUUAUAUGGGAAUAAAAUGUUCCACGUGUGGGAUUUUGUAUGUACCAUAUGAAUAAGGAUCGGCUAACUCCGUGCCAGCAGCCGCGGUCAUACGGAGGAUACGAGCGUUACCCGGAUUUAUUGGGUUUAACGGGAGCGUAGGUGGAUUGUUAAGUCAGUUGUGAAAGUUUGCGGCUCAACCGUACAAUUGCAGUUGAAACUGGCAGUCUUGAGUACGUGAGAGGUGAGUGGAAUUCGUGGUGUAGCGGUGAAAUGCUUAGAUAUCACGAAGAACUCCGAUUGCGAAGGCAGCUCACUGGACUAUAACUGACACUGAGGCUCGAAAGUGUGGGUAUCAAACAGGAUUAGAUACCCGAGUAGUC
rnacentral:rRNA from 1 species